AACGAACGCUGGCGGCAUGCCUAACACAUGCAAGUCGAACGAGACCUUCGGGUCUAGUGGCGCACGGGUGCGUAACGCGUGGGAACCUGCCCUUAGGUUCGGAAUAACUCCCCGAAAGGGGUGCUAAUACCGGAUAAUGUCUUCGGACCAAAGAUUUAUCGCCUUUGGAUGGGCCCGCGUUGGAUUAGCUAGUUGGUAGGGUAAAAGCCUACCAAGGCGACGAUCCAUAGCUGGGCUGAGAGGAUGAUCAGCCACACUGGGACUGAGACACGGCCCAGACUCCUGCGGGAGGCAGCAGUGGGGAAUAUUGGACUAUGGGCGAAAGCCUGAUCCAGCAAUGCCUCGUGAGUGAUGAAGGCCUUAGGGUUGUAAAGCUCUUUUACCCGGGGUGAUAAUGACAGUACCGGGAGAAUAAGCACCGGCUAACUCCGUG
rnacentral:rRNA from 1 species